rnacentral:rRNA from 1 species
CAGUCGCCGCGGUAAUACGUAGGGUGCAAGCGUUAAUCGUAAUUACUGGGCGUAAAGCGUGCGCAGGCGGUUAUAUAAGACAGAUGUGAAAUCCCCGGGCUCAACCUGGGAACUGCAUUUGUGACUGUAUAGCUAGAGUACGGCAGAGGGGGAUGGAAUUCCGCGUGUAGCAGUGAAAUGCGUAGAUAUGCGGAGGAACACCGAUGGCGAAGGCAAUCCCCUGGGCCUGUACUGACGCUCAUGCACGAAAGCGUGGGGAGCAAACAGGAUUAGAUACCCCAGUAGUCCCUGUCUCUUAUAC